rnacentral:rRNA from 1 species
AGGACGAACGCUGGCGGCGUGCUUAACACAUGCAAGUCGAGCGGAAAGGCCCUUCGGGGUACUCGAGCGGCGAACGGGUGAGUAACACGUGAGUAAUCUGCCCCUAGCUCUGGGAUAGCUCCGGGAAACCGGGAUUAAUACCGGAUAUGACCACUUUAGACAUCUGUUGUGGUGGAAAGAAUUUCGGCUAGGGAUGAGCUCGCGGCCUAUCAGCUUGUUGGUGGGGUAACGGCCUACCAAGGCGACGACAGGUA